AAAUUGUGCGGUUAACGGUCAAAGCCCCCCUGCCUACUUUGACACUCAUUUAAAGAUGACAGGGAACAAUAGAGAUUUGUUCUGUGCAACCCUUUCUUGUUAUGCCGGCGACAUCAGCUCCGCACAUGAAACUGCCCGAUAUUUCAUUCCACCUGCCACCUCCCUCCCGCCUCGGUCGACUCUCUCCUCUGCUACUUUGCUUGUCCCCACUUUAACACAAAGAGACAGAGACAAGAGAUUUCACUGUGUUAACCAGGAUGGUCUCGAUCUCCUGACUUCGUGAUCCACCCGCCUCAGCCUCCCAAAGUGCUGGGAUUACAGGCUUGAGCCACUAUGCCUGGCUUUAGGCUGGGAUUUUUAUAGCUUAUUAUGGCAAGGGAGGAGACAGAGAAUAAAAGAAGAGGAAAGAGCAUACACGGUCACCCCUUGUGUGACAAAUAUGCAAGAAAUAAAGAUAAAUGUGUACAAUUCUUACAAUUUUACUUUUCUGAAUUUUGCUAUUGCACUGAAUGAUUUGUGAUUAAGACAGAUGUUGAUGAAAAAUAUACUUAUUAGAUAAACAGCUAUUAAAAGCCCCUAAAG
rnacentral:lncRNA from 1 species